GCCUGGGGACUACGAGGGAAACUUUAAAACCCGAGGGACUUGGCGGUGCACUAUACCCCCCAGGGGAACCUGGCCCUUAAUUCGAUGAUCCACGAACUUCUUACCUUUCCUUGUUUUGGUCCACCCUUUGGGGUGUACUUCUAUCAGUUUGCAUACCGCCGUUUUCAGCUUGUAUCGUGAGAUAAAAGAAACAGGCUAAUCAGCAUUGUAGGCGUGGCCAGCUAUACUAUAGCUAGGCGACGGUACUGCUAGGAAUUCAGGUAAACGUGUAGCCAAUGGAAAGGGGGUGCUGGGUUACAAUUGAGGUUUGGAGUGGAGGGCAGUCUGAAGAGGCUGCCUGAAAGAGUACUUGGAAGUAAUGACUUUGGGCAAUGAA
rnacentral:rRNA from 1 species